UGCUUGUAUGAAGAUAGUGACUUAUCUCAAAUGAUCGCUCAGUUACAGGUUGAACUCCUUGUUCUACUCUUUCCCCACUUCUCACUACUGCACUUGACCAGUCAACA
ensembl:misc_RNA Y_RNA Y RNA